rnacentral:misc_RNA from 1 species
UUUCCGUAGGUGAACCUGCGGAAGGAUCAUUAUAGAACUUUGAGGGGAGGGGAAGGCUGUCGCUGGCUUUCUCGAGCAUGUGCACGUCUUCCUUCUCUCACACAAACCCCACACCUGUGCACCCUUUGUAGGCCCUCGAAAGAGGAUCUACGUAUUUCAUACAACACCCACUUGGCAUGUCCAUAGAAUGUAAUAAAUCAUACAACUUUCAGCAACGGAUCUCUUGGCUCUC